AGUUCUGAAAAGAUGCCACGCAAAAGCACACCAGCAUUCAAAGGACGGUCCGCGGAGGUUUACAAAAGUUUAUCCGAACCGAAGGCUACAAUUCCGAAUUCUGGAGCAAAAGAUACGUCCCAAGUAUGUCUUAAUUCCGAGGACUUCAAGUUGUCGUGGAGCCAAAGAUUGUGGUUUAAUACGCUAUCCUUUUGUUGCUGCGGACAACCGAUAAAUAAAAAUGUUAGUGAUAAUUUGGAUGAGUAAUGCAAAUUCUAAAGACUUCAAUAAUUUGAUUAAAUGUAUGCACAUAUGUAGAAUAUUAUUAAUAAAAUAAAUAAGUAAAGUACAAUAACUG
ensembl:ncRNA lncRNA:CR42868 long non-coding RNA:CR42868